UACACACCGCCCGUCACACCAUGGGAGUUGGCUUUACCUGAAGACGGUGCGCUAACCGCAAGAAGGCAGCCGGCCACGGUAGGGUCAGCGACUGGGGUG
rnacentral:rRNA from 1 species